rnacentral:lncRNA from 1 species
CUUUGUUGGGUUGACGGAAGUUUUUUGAACUAAAUAGUUUAUUGAGAUGGUUUCGUGAUGGGCGCAUCUCACGGAGGAAUAAAGAAAUUGUAGGGUUUUCUGUUGUUAGGAAUUUUUAUGCAGAAGUGGUUGAUUUUUGUUCUACAUUUUACUCCGUCUUGCCCGCUUUUUUGGUGGGAUUGUGGGAUACACAUGUAGCAAGCAACAAUUUAAUACCAUAGCUGCUACCAUAAUGAAGCCAUCAUCUACAUAAACAUUAAAAUUACGACAUCAGAUACAGCCAAGAAGUUCCUAAAAACUCCAGAAGUACUGCAACUUCAGCUUACAUCCAGAUAACAAAAAUACAGUAAAAGUAUGAGAUUUAUAUCUUGUUUUUUAAAAUUCAUUUCUUUAUGUACAAUAAAUAUGAUUAGU